CAAAAACAUAGCUUUUUUAAAUUUAGAAAGUGUAAUCUGCUCGGUGAAUUAAGGAAAAAUAAUUUUUUAAAAAAAUUUUAACAGCUGCUGUAUUCUGACGGUAAUAAUGUAGGAAAAUAAUUAGUCAUUUAAUUGAUGAACGUAGAUGAAUGAUUGAACGAGUUUCCCACUGUCUUAAUUACAACAGAAUGAAAAUUUAUUUUAUAGUGAAGAAGCUAUAUAAAAUUGUAAGACGAGAAGACCCUGUAAAGCUUAACUAUAAUCCUGUUUUACUGUUCUAAUUUCAAUAUAAUCAGAAUAUAAAUGUAAAUAGGAUUGGUAGUUUGGUUGGGGCAACAGCAUUUUAAAUACAAAAAAUGUAAUAAAUAAUAUAAAUAAAAAUUAUUGUUUAAUUUAUAAAUUUAACAAUUAUAAAAUAGUAUUAAAUGAUCUGUCUUAAUUUAAAAAAAAAGACAAUUAAUAAAUAAAAGUUACUUCAGGGAUAACAGGUUAAUUUUAUUUUAGAGAAGCUAUCGAAAAUAAAGUUUGACACCUCGAUGUUGAAUUAAGUUAACCUUGUAUCGCAGGUGAUACAAAAGGUUGGUCUGUUCGACCAUUAAAAACUUACAUGAUUUGA
rnacentral:rRNA from 1 species